CGACCCUGACCGCCCAUGCCCGCGGGCACCGGGAGGCCGGCCUCCCCCAGGGCCUCCACCUGUGCUGGCUCUUCUGCACUUUCGCUUUCACCAUAGAGCUCUGCCAGCAGAGGCUUCGGUGCGGGAGGAGAAGCAGUCAGUGAGCACCUGACUGGGAGAAGAGUUCGUGGUCGCAGAAGAGUGUACUCCAUGUCCCAGUUUUCAGGCUAAAACCAUCCCUGAGUGUGGUUCCACAGGUUAUGAUGAGAAAAUUACAUGCAGCUCCUCUAAGAGAAAUGAGUUCAAAAGCUGCCGCUCAGCUCUGAUGGAACAACACUUAUUCUGGAAAUUUGAAGGGGCUGUGGUGGGUGUGGCUUUGGUCUCCGCAUGCCUUGUCAUCAUCCUUCAGCGACAACUGGACAGAAAGGCUCUGGAAAAGGUCCGGAAGCAAAUUGAGUCCAUAUAACUACAUUCCACCCUUUUAUCCUGGAUCUUACAGACCAUAUCUCAGAGAAAGAGAAAUGGGACUGAUUUGCGCCUUUGGUUCUUAGGCAUCUUGUGGUGGUAACCCCUUCUCCCCAUCUUCCUCUCCAUGUCAUUAAUAAGCACAAUAAAAAAGAGUAAGUUAAAAAAAAAAGAAGG